GCCUGGGUGGCUCAGUCAGUUGAGUGUCCGAUUUUGGCUCAGAUUAUGCUCUCAUAUUUGUGGGUUCAAGCUCCACAUCGGGCU
rnacentral:tRNA from 1 species